CCGGCAAGGCGGGCACAACCAGGCAGCCAAUCAGGGGCACGCUCGCCUCCUCUACCCGGGCUGAAUGGCAUCGCCCCCCGGCCCUCCCCUCGCUCUGCCUCUUGCUCUCUCUCUCGCCAACCCCCCCACCUUUCUCUCUCCGCCGCCGCCGCCGCUCCGCAGCUGCCCGGGAUGAUUUUAUAAACAUUUUGCCAGCGGAUCAAUAGCCGUAUUGAUCAACCAUUGUGAGAGUGAUCCGUCUAAACCCCCCCCAAGCAGCCUGCAGCUCAGAGAGAGAGAGGGAGGAGCGAGAGAGAAAGAGAGAGAAAGAGAGAGAGAGUGAGAGAGGCUGCAGAGAGGACGAAGAAAGGAAAAGAGUAAGAGAGAGAGAAUGAGAGAGAGGAAAGGAAAGGAAAGGAGAGGGAGAGAGAGAGGUAGAGAGGGAAGAGAAGGGGAGAGCCAGACGAAGAGAGAGAAGCUGAAGGUGAGCGAAUGAAUGAACGAACGAACGAACGCAAGGGAGCGUGAGCCGGAGACAUUGGCAAUUCGCGCCCGAAACGCAUUCUAAUCGCUUUCUCGUUAAGCAGACAGAGGGAGGGGUGGCUAAUGAGUCUCGCCGUAGCCGUAAGUACGGGAGGUAAUUGAUGGAGAGAGAGAGAGAGAGGGCGAGAGACUGGACGAGAGAGCGAGAGAGAGAGAGAGAGAGAGAGAGAGAGAGAGAGAGCUAACGUACAUAUGACUGAAACAAAAACGAAAACGGAAACGAACACAGGUCUGGCCUGGAAAACGCCUGCAGACGUUGCGGACGAAGCCUCGUGCCGGAAAAUGCCAGACGAUGACGGCUGGCUCCCGAACAGGAAGGCCCGCUCAAUAUUUCUUGUUACGGCUUUGAAUAUGGUAAACGAAGCGUCGUCACGUUAGGGGACGUUAAUUGGACUGCCGUUCUGGGCGGGGAAUCGCUGUGGAAAUGCGCCUUGUAGUACUUUGUAGGAUUAUGCACAACAAGCGAAGCUCUGGACCACAAUGGAAUCGACAUUUGUUGGCCAAUCGACUGGAUAACAAUGCAAAACUAUUGGACAUUCCAGCACGUCCAGGACUUGCUGGAAGAUCAUGCAUUUGGAGUACUGCACUCUGGAUGAAGGAUGCAUCAUUUUGUGGGCUUGGAUUUUUAAAGGAAACCUGAAGGAAACAGUGCGGAAACAUCGGACAUGCUGGAUACCGUCUGCAGGAGUUGCCGGGCAGAAAAAGGUUGGAGAACAAUGGAUGUAAGCGGUGAGCGACAGAGGCAGACAGACGGACUGAUAGACAGACUGACCGGAGAUCGGGCCCAGCCUGCCACCUCGGUGAUCACGUGAGCUGAGCAGAGGGGAUCAGGCUGGAGAGCCCAGGGGAGGCCUAUAUUGAUUCCCCUCUAAGAGAAGUCCUGCUCCACUGCGCUUUGCACAGAGUUCAAGUGUGCUGCGACGGUCUGGGACCAGGCCUGGAUCAGGGGCCAUAAUGAGGAGAAUUGAUGCAAGACUUUGAACCACUAAUCGUAACAAUAGGAUCUGGGCGGCUGGGCCAAUCAAGUGAAGGCUGAGCAACAGUGUGCUUGCUGAGGGCCUUGGCUGUGAACUGAAUGCACAUACAUGUACAUAUAUACACACCAAUACAAACCUAUACAGCUCAGCUGAGUGAGGCUGUUUUGAGAAGAAAAAAAAAACAUGUUGACUACACCUUAUGUUGAUUAUCAACUUCUUGUUAUGCUGAAUUAAGGAUGCUAAGUCAUGCUGGGGAGAUGUAUAUUUACAUGCAAUAAAGAAAUUAAGCUUGA